rnacentral:lncRNA from 1 species
GGCAUGACGCUUUGGCCCACCGACUAUAAAGAAAUCAUCAUGUUCAAAAAUCCUCGGGGACACCUAGGGUAGACGACGUGACGCUUUGGAGUUUGGUCACCGACUAUAAAGAAAUUAUCGACGAGACGCUAUUAGCCCGUCGUUAGGAUAUAAAACCGACAACGUAUGGGUCGGCGUCCCGAGCGGAAGGAAUAAGACCCAUUCACCCACACCAUCCAGGCCUAAGACCCCAUCAUAAGCUCUGGAAGCUGGAGCAUUAUCGUGUUUGUAAGAUCAUACCAUACGGCUCGAGAGGGGGGGUAUGAUUGUAAGACCUGACCGGCCAACUUCCGUAAAGAGCCCGAAGGGACGGGAAAGGCGUGACGUUUCUGCUCCCCUGCACCAUAAAAACUCAGUCAAAACUCGCGUAACUGACGUGACGCUUUGGUCUACCGACUAUAAAGAAAUCACAAGAACAUUACCACCACCUACAGAGGUAGCGGGGGGAGGAUCGGUAGUCACAGUCAAAUCCAACCUCAUCUCUCCUGGUCGCUCUGGGGAGAGGACUAAUGGUACUUGAGUUAUUUCAAACACAUGUGGAGAAAGUUCUACCCCGAUCGAGGGCGAAAACUGAUGAUACCAGGUCCGGUACAGAGAGUACAUGUCCUAAGGCAUUUAUCACGAACGUAUAAGGACCCGAAAGGUUAAGGGAAGAUAAACCAAAAUUUAGAUCGAUCGACCAGAAUUCCGGUCGUUCGACUUAAAAAUGAUCGAUCCACCCAGUCGAAAGGGGAUCGACCACUUCUAGGUUUGACGUAAUGAAAAAACCUUUUUCCCUUCAGAAAAUCUAUAAAUAGGAAUGGAGAUUGAUCAUUUCAUUCAGAAUACCAAACGAUCGACCUCUUUCAGAGAAAAAGUAUUGUAGUGUGUGACUGAAGAUCCAGAGCGUUCAGUCGAUCAACUGGAAGGGGUCCUGCAUAUGAUCGACUGGUUGACAAUCGAUUGACCAGCGAUCGACCAAGUCUGACACUGAUGAUAAAACCACCGUCAUCAAAAUAGAAGGAAGAUCCACUGCAAGGAAGUUAAUAUGAGGAUUGCUUAAGUGGAAAAAGAACAUGCUAAGAAUGGGUACUAGAAUGUAGAAACUGAAGACAAAUUUAAUUCCCUAGAAGCAAAACUCCGAUAUUAUAAGGUUGAAUUUGCCCAUCUACUGAAAACCAGAGCCUUACUUGGAGGUUCAACA